CUCCUCCUCUCUCUCUCUCUCCCUCUCUACCCUGCAGCCAAAAUUUUCAGUUUGCUACAGAGCAAUGGAGAACAGAGCAGUGAAAGAACAGCACAGGGAGACGACGACGUCGUCGUCGUCCUCAAAGAAGAGAAGAAUUGUGAGAGUCCCACCGAAGAGAGGGCAGAUCAAAGUGAGGAUCUUCAAAUCGCUGGUCAAGAAAGUGAAGGAAUGGGCGUCCAUGGCUUCCGCGAAACGGAGCAGAGGACGCGACCGUUGCUGUAGCUGUAGCGGCAACUCGGCAUCAGUGACUUCCCUCGGAGACACGUGAAUAAUCAUCUCGAAUCACCUCGCACCAGCGAUACUUAAUCAUAUGUCUGACCCAGAUUAGUGAUCAGGAACGAUGCUUUCCGAACCCUCGGCGUCAAAUCUAGAACAUCCGG
rnacentral:lncRNA from 1 species